rnacentral:rRNA from 1 species
UACGUAGGUGGCAAGCGUUGUCCGGAUUUAUUGGGUUUAAAGGGUGCGUAGGCGGCCCUGUAAGUCAGUGCUGAAAUACCCCGGCUUAACCGGGGGGGUGGCAUUGAUACUGCAGGGCUUGAGUACAGAUGAGGUAGGCGGAAUUGACGGUGUAGCGGUGAAAUGCAUAGAUAUCAGGAGGAACACCUGUGGUGUAGACGGCUUUCUGGACCAUAGCUGACGCUGAGACACGAAAGCGUGGGUAGCAAACAGG